rnacentral:rRNA from 1 species
CCUACGGGUGGCUGCAGUAGGGAAUCUUCCACAAUUGGCGAAAGCCUGAUGGAGCAACGCCGCGUGAACGAAGAAGUUAUUCGUAAUGUAAAGUUCUUUUAACAGGGAAGAAAGAGAAAUUUGACGGUACCUGAAGAAUAAGCUCCGGCUAACUACGUGCCAGCAGACGCGGUAAUACGUAGCGAGCGAGCGUUAUCCGGAGUUAUUGGGCGUAAAGGGUGCGUAGAUGGAAUAGUAAGUCGUUCGUAAAAAUGCUGGGCUCAACCCAGUAGGGCAACAGAUACUGCAAAGCUAGAGGAUGACAGAGGCAAGUGGAACGACAUGUGUAGCGGUAAAAUGCGUAAAUAUAUGUAAGAACACCAGUGGCGAAGGCGGCUUGCUGGGUCGAUACUGACAUUGAGGCACGAAAGCGUGGGGAGCAAACAGGAUUAGAUACCCCUGUAGUC